rnacentral:piRNA from 1 species
UNGGUAGCAGAAGUAGGUCUCAUGGUC